rnacentral:sRNA from 1 species
CCGGCUCGUUCUGGGGGAGUAGCCUCGGCGCGCGACAGCGCCGGCAAGCGUCAACAUGCUUGGCUUCGGCCAUGGCGCUUGCGACGAGCUUCCGUUUGGCAAGACCCAUGACAUGCUUGCGUAUCGCGGGGCCGCGGCGCAGGUUUGU